rnacentral:tRNA from 2 species
UAUGGCAGAAUAGUGCAAUGGAUUUAAACCCCAUAUAUAAAGUUUAAACUUUUUUUAGAAUAACUA